rnacentral:lncRNA from 13 species
CAAGCGUCCUGCCAUCCAGGACCUCUAUACCAGGCUGUGUCAGAGGAAGGCCCUAAAAAUUGUCAAAGACUCCAGCAACCCUAGUCAUAGACUGUUCUCUCUGCUACUGCACGGCAAGCGGUACCGGAGCGCCAAGUCUAGGUCACCGAGGCUUCAAAACAGCUUCUACCUUCAAGCCAUAAGACUCCUGAACAGCUAAUCAAGUGGCUACCCAAACUUUUGCAUUACACCCCCCCACCCCCCCAUAUACGCUGCUGCUAUUCUCUGUUAUUAUCUAUGCAUAGCCACUUUAAUAACUCUACCUACAUGUACAUAAUUACAUAAAUGACCUCGACACCGGUGCCCCUGCACAUUGACACACUGACUCUGUACGGGUACCCCCUGUAUAUAGCCCCGCUAUUGUUAUUUACUGCUGCUCUUUAAUUAUUUGUUAUACUUAUCUCUUCAUUUUUUUGUAUUUUCUUAAAACUGGAUUGUUGGUUAAGGGCUUGUAAGUAAGCAUUUCACUGUACGGUCUACACCGGUUUUAUUCGGUGCGUGUGACAAAUACAAUUUGAUUUGUUCAGUUGCUUCAACCUGUUUCCAAAAAAUGGCUGUCCUGCAUUAGCUGGUUAAAGUGAGAAUCAUGUCAACACUGCAGGGCAGGCUGUGGAACGCUUGUGCGAUGCUGAGCUGUGAUUGGCCGUUGCUAUAACAAUGAGGGCGGGGUAAAUGCGGUAGGGGGCGGAGAGAGAGAUUGACGAUAACACUCUUCUGUAGCGUUCCCUCUCUUCUCAUAAUCUCGAGUUAGCUUCUGUUUUUUUCUGUUUAUUAUUUUUCAGUCAGCAGGUCAUUGCAUGCAGGCGGACGGAGUGGCUGAGUCCUGCGCUGUCAGAGGGGGAGAUUGGAGUGGUUGUCUCUUGCUACUACGCUCUCUCUAUUUCUCUCUCUUGCUUGUGUUCUGCCUGCUACCAUCGGAAUAACAUUCCUGCAGCUCUGGAUUAUCUGCCUAAAACACAGAAUUACACUUUUACACACACCUGGGAAAUCUCUGGAUACCGUAAACAGAAGGAGAGAGGCUUCUGUUUCCCUUCGCGGGCGACCUCUUCUCCCCUCGGCAGCUAAGCGAGGUCCAGCAGCAGCUAAGCGACAAAUCAGAGAAGAGAUGUGACCAACUGGAGAAGAGAAUCGGCAGGAAGAUAGAUGUCAUCCUAAGCUCAUGUGAGUCUGCUCCGCUCUGCUCACUUAUCAUGGUUCUGCAUCUGGUCUAUUUUUCAAUGGGGCCCCAUCAAACACACCCUUUGCAGCAGAACUUCAUGUCAUUGACCAGUAUGCCCACAGCUCAGGUCCCCCAAUCACCCAGUCAGACCGAGGGAAACUGGUUGUAGGCUUGUCUAGAAUUCUCCCAUGGCCUUCGAACAUGACAUACAGUAUCUGGACACACCCAUGAA